rnacentral:misc_RNA from 1 species
GAUGAAGAACGUAGCGAAAUGCGAUACGUAAUGUGAAUUGCAAAUUCAGUGAAUCAUCGAGUCUUUGAACGCACAUUGCGCCCCCUGGUAUUCCGGGGGGCAUGCCUGUCCGAGCGUCAUUGCUGCCCUCAAGCACGGCUUGUGUGUUGGGCCCCGUCCUCCGAUCCCGGGGGACGGGCCCGAAAGGCAGCGGCGGCACCGCGUCCGGUCCUCGAGCGUAUGGGGCUUUGUCACCCGCUCUGUAGGCCCGGCCGGCGCUUGCCGAUCAACCCUAAUUUUUAUCCAGGUUGACCUCGGAUCAGGUAGGGAUACCCGCUGAACUUAAGCAUAUCAAUAAGCGGAGGA